rnacentral:rRNA from 1 species
GACGAACGCUGGCGGCGUGCUUAACACAUGCAAGUCGAACGGUGAAGCCUUCGGGUGGAUCAGUGGCGAACGGGUGAGUAACACGUGAGCAAUCUGCCCUUGACUCUGGGAUAACUUCGGGAAACCGGAGCUAAUACCGGAUAUGACAUCUGGCCGCAUGGUCUGGGUGUGGAAAGAUUUAUCGGUCAAGGAUGAGCUCGCGGCCUAUCAGCUUGUUGGUGGGGAAUGGCCCACCAAGGCGACGACGGGUAGCCGGCCUGAGAGGGCGACCGGCCACACUGGGACUGAGACACGGCCCAGACUCCUACGGGAGGCAGCAGCGGGGAAUAUUGCGCAAUGGGCGGAAGCCUGACGCAGCGACGCCGCGUGAGGGAUGAAGGCCUCGGUCGUAACCUACUUCAGCAGGGAAGAAGACGCAAGUGACGGUACCUGCAGAAGAAG